rnacentral:rRNA from 1 species
GGGGGGGGGGGGGGGGGGGGGGGGGGGGGGGGGGUUGGGGGGUGGGGGGUGGUGCUUGUGCCGACUAGGGGAGGGGCGGGGGGGGGAGUAAGGCGGGGGGGAUCUGCCUUUGGGCGGGUGACAACGGGUGGGAACGAGUGCUGGUACCGCCUGAACACUGGAGCGACGAGUUGGACGUUUUAAAGGUGAGCUUGCAUCCCUCCACGGUGAGUCCGCGUUGUAUUAGCUAGUUGGUGAGGUAAAGGCUCACCAAGGCGAUGAUACAUCUCUGACCUGAUAGGGUGCUCGGCCACAUUGGGACUGAGACACGGCCCAAACUCCUACGGGAGGCAGCAGUAGGGCAUCUUCGGCAAUGGACGAAAGUCUGACCGAGCAACGCCGCGUGAGUGAAGAAGGUUUUCGGAUCGUAAAACUCUGUUGGUAGAGAAGAACGUUGGUGAGAGUGGAAAGCUCAUCAAGUGACGGUAACUACCCAGAAAGGGACGGCUAACUACGUG